CCUACGGGUGGCAGCAGUGAGGAAUAUUGGUCAAUGGACGAGAGUCUGAACCAGCCAAGUAGCGUGAAGGAUGACUGCCCUAUGGGUUGUAAACUUCUUUUAUAUGGGAAUAAAAUGUUCCACGUGUGGGAUUUUGUCUGUACCAUAUGAAUAAGGAUCGGCUAACUCCGUGCCAGCAGCCGCGGUAAUACGGAGGAUCCGAGCGUUAUCCGGAUUUAUUGGGUUUAAAGGGAGCGUAGGUGGAGUGUUAAAUCAGUUGGGAAAGUGUCCGGGUCAACCGUAAAAUUGCAGUUGAAACUGGCAGGCUUGAGUACAGAAGAGGUGGGCGGAAUUCGUGGUGUAGCGGUGAAAUGCUUAGAUAUCACGAAGAACUCCGAUUGCGAAGGCAGCUCACUGGACUGCAACUGACACUGAGGCUCGAAAGUGUGGGUAUCAAACAGGAUUAGAUACCCGAGUAGUC
rnacentral:rRNA from 1 species